rnacentral:rRNA from 1 species
GUCUAUGGCCAUACCACCCUGAACGCACCCAAUCUCGCCUGAUCUUGGAAGCUAAGCAGGGUCAGGCCUGGUUAGUAUUUGGGUGCGAGAAAAGAAUUCUUCAACCUAUUUAGC